GCUGUAGGGGAAGUAGUCUGCAAUUGUUGUCUAGCUGGAGGGAGGUGUGUCGGGAGGCUACAGAGUUUGGUAGGAAGCCGAAAACAGGUAUAUUCUACAGUUAGUCCCUGGAAAGAGGGAGUUUGGGCGGGUAAACCCAGAGAAGGGGGCCAGAAGUUAGAGAAAGGAAGGAGUCCAGGGAUAUAGCAACAGGGUCUAGGAGCCAGCAGACCACAGUUGCUAGACAUAGGGUCCCUGGACUGGAACCUGGAGUAGUGCGUGGGCCUUGAUUCCACUACCAGGUGCUGGAAAGUGGCACAGGACUUGGCCUUGUAUCUGAAGGCUGUCGGGAAUGGCUUGCGGAUGGCUGAUCCAGUGGGACUUUGAUACCCCGGGAGGGGAGGACAGUACAGUGACCUGGCUGGAGGAUGGAGUGAUGAAGAGGGAGCACCACGAGUCCUGGAGAGUGAGGGGGGACACAGUGUGAGCAACCAUGAAGAGGGGGAUUCUGCCAUGGAACGAGCUAAUCCCUGGAUGCAGCCAUAAAGAGGCAUCCCAAUGAGGCUAGUGAAUUCAGAUCUGCAGAGAUGCACUUGGUUGCAAAACUCACCAGACUGUUGAGCACCUGAUUUUAUUUCCUGGGUUCCCACAGUAUACACAGGUAACUUACUACUUUAUCUAAGCAUGUGAGGGAUAAAGUAUAGGACUUGCAGGGCAGCAGAAACCACAUCAUCCAAGUACAUAAGCUUCUCCUGAAUUCUUCAUGUGUUCCAUCCCUGCAUCAUCUAGGACCAAAUUCUUGGCAAUGGAAACUUUUGUCACUGACCACAUUGAGACUAGAAUUUGGCUCACAGUAGAUGUAGCGAAAGUUUAAAUCACGUAACCUCUCCUUGCCUCAAUUUCCCCAUCAGCAAACCAUGGGUGAUAACUCUACCAUGCCCUACAGAAGGCUUCACCCAUGGAGCUUAAGAAGAGUCUUUCCAAUGACUUCAGUGGGUGCUGGACCAAGAGAAGAAGCUGAAUUAAUUAAUGUCUGAGAUCCUCAGUUGGAAGACACGGUAGACAUCCCAUUCACCACUAUGCAGACCAGACCCAACACAAGGCCUGUGUGCUACUCAAGUUCCAUGUAAGCCCUAAAAAUAAUUCACAGGGGUGAAUUUCACCAGCAAAGAGGAUGUUAGUUCUUAACUGGGCAACUCAUUUUAGUUGAGAAAUUCAAACCAACUCCACGCAUCUGGAGAGAUGAGGCAAAUGGAGAUAGUUCCUUCAUGUUCAUUUUUAUGUACCCAUGAAACGAAGAAAAUUGUUGUGCUCUCUGCUAUGAGUCUUCGCCUUUCUUCCUUCUUUAAGAAAAGGAAAAGAUUGAUGAGUGGACUGGAUCUCUUUCCUUUCUGUAUUUUUGUCCUGCUUUGGAAUGAAUGCAGGAAAAAAUAUCUACUACUAUU